GUACAACUUUGCAUUGCAAUUGGAGUGUUGCAGACGGAAAACAGAUGGCAGAGCAGUAGCAACCAGACCGGUGCACAGUCCCAGGAAUGAGGAUGGGUGGGGGAAAAUGAAGAAACUGCAAAGGCAACAUUAUACACAGUGCAGCCCCGAGCUUGCUGCAGUGCCUGCCUGUGCGGAAGCAGCCACUCAAGCACACUGGAGCAGCUGGGGCAUGUGGCAGCAUUCCUUCCUACUGCGUGUCCUGUGGGUGCACAUUGGUUUGUGUCAGAAAAGGAGCAGAGGAGGUGGUACACUGGCUUGCCCAUUUCAUAUCUUAAUCAGCAGGUAUUUUUCCUUUGCUUUUUCCUGGGCUAAGGCAUGCUGUUAGUGACAAGAGUGAAUGCUGGGAGGGGUGAGACUUUUAGACCUUCAGACUUGUCAGCACUGAUCUUAAUAUACAAAAGGUGAAAAUGUUGUUGGGGGGGUGGUUUAAUAAAAACAGGCAAAAAACUCGAGAGGUAUUUUAAUUGUAAGCCCUCUCUUGGUUUUGUUUUGAUUGUUUUGAUUUCAUUGGUUUUCUUGUUUGUUUUGAAUUUAGGAGGGGGGUUAAUUUGCUUCCAGAUCUCAUACAGCGCCUUUUGAAAUUGCUUCCCUUUGUUCUCUCCACUUUUCUUCCUCCAGUAGUCACACUGUUGUAAAAGAUUUUGAUCAGAAAAUAUACCAGCAGGGAUUGGAACCACAUUGUUCUGUUGCUUUGGAAACAACUAAGAAGAGAAGUUUUCAUGAAAAUCCUGCAGACAAAGGUUCUCAGCCCAUACACUGAGCUUAAUUUCAGGGAGUUGUACAUUCUUGGGCAAGCUUAUUGCUUUUCCUCUUAGCCUGAGGGGAGACGGCCAUUGGGUGCUGAAAUUCAGUGCAGUUUGAUAGGGCUGUGUUGGCAGGGGUUGCAUCUGCAGCAGUCUGCUGUAACAGAGGAGGGCUUAUUGUGUGUAGCUGGAGCAGGCAGAGUUUGUGUAGCAACGGCUCUCCAGCCAAUCGUCGGAGGUGUUAGAUAAAGUGGAAGCGUUUGUAGCACUUCCUCUGCUUUUCUUUUUAAUUAGGCCAUAUUCUUUCCUGAACCCCCUCCUCCACUGCAAGCAUCAGACAGCAUCCUGAAGCUUUCACUCUGUUCUGCGCAAUAGAAUUUGGAUAUUGGAAAGAUCUGCAAUUUGAACCUAGCUGGUUUUGUCUAAUCUUUUUGUUUUGAGCCAUGUUUGCCAGGAGAAGGUUCUGUAUUUUGUUUUCCUCUGCCUUUCUUGGAGAGUACCUCGCAGUGCUGGCUGUGCUGUUCAUCUAAGUAAGAUGUCUGAAUUUGUGUGUAGGCAUUUUUGUAAGAGGACUUAGUAGGAAAAAAAAAAUAUCUCAUUGGCCUUUAGUUCAGUUUCUCAAUGUGUGUUUUGAUUAACUAGACUACAGCAGAGGGAGUUCUGGAAGCUGCUGCAUCCAGCAUUACGUGGCUCACCAUAUCACAGAGGGCUGACUCAUAAACGGUUCGCUCUGCUAUUAGCGAGUUUCCUUUAAUGAGGCGGAGGGGGUUGGAUAGUGCAUGCAGAUGAUGCUGGCAAGUAGCCUUGUGCUGGGAGGAGAUGGGAGAGGUUAAGAAUUAAUGCAUGUCAGAAAAGCUAGUACUGAGGAACUGAACUCUGUUCCCACCUUACAGCUAUUUGAGACAGCUGGAUGCCUUGGAUAAUAGGAAUACAGAAGAAAAUGAUCCCUGAAGCGCCUCAGUCCAUUGCUGUGUCUUUUACUUAAAUAAGCUGAGUUUUCCUCUUCUGAGGAACAUCUCCAGCCCAAUAUCAGGGCUGUUUGGUGAAGCUGUAUCAUGUUGGUGGUGAGCAGUGUCCUUGCUUUGGUUCAAAAAAAUAAAAAGAAAAGGUCCAACCUGAAGUAACAGCAGCUGAGUUUCAGGGAAGAUACACAUUGCAUCUCCUGUUGUUACACACAGAGGCCUUGUGUUCUGCAGAAUAACAUGUCCUGCUGUUUUUGACAAGUUCUUGAAUUCGGUUUUAUGGUCUUUCAUAUCCUGCAGCCCUGUUAGCAUUUCUUUUUAGAAUUCUGCAUGACCCAAAGCCAAAGGAAUGACAGCCUGUUGCUCAGCUGGCAGACGUGGCCGAGGGCACUGAUCACACAACAAAGUCUGUAACAUUUUGGAAACAAGCAGUCCUCUUUUAAAAGACCAGUUUUAGUGAAAGUGUUUCCAGUGCUUAUCAGGAAAAAGAUAGGAUGUUUAUUUUCUGGUAAAAAAAAAGUUGUGCAAACACUGAACUCCAUAUAUACCAAACCUUAAAAUAUCAUUUUCAUUGGUAGAAUACUUGUGCAUUUUCACCCAAACAUCCAUGCAGGUUGUUUGUGGAAGGCUGCAGUUUUAUUGGUGUUGCACUUCUCCUACAAACAAGUUGGAAGUAGGCUACAAGCUGAGUGUUUAUUGAAUGACACUUGUAGAGAGUGCUCUGUGUUCUCCUCCUGUGGAAAUAAACAUCAGGGUCUGUUUUAAGAGGCCAUUAAUUGGGGAAAUGAAACCGUAUGUGACACAAAUGCUACAUGUGUACAAGGCCACAGAACAGAGCUAAACAGAGAGCUGAUCCGUGUGUGGGUGCUGUGAACCAGUCACCAUUCUAUUAAUUAGAAGCGACAUUGUUACGAAAUAGUCGUUACUUUGGAUGCCAAGGCAUGACCCCUGUACACAGUGAAAUUAGCUAAAUUUGCUAUGGUGUGUUUUGAAUAAAGCACUGUGAAACUGGCCUCUAAAAAUAGCUUUUAUCCUGGCAUCAAGAAAGCAAGCUAUAGUACUGCAGCACUCUUUAAGUGUCGCGUUUUCCUUUUUGGUCGACGUGAUAGAUGUGUUUCAGUGACUUCUGUACGUAUUGCUAAGAUAUGUGCAUGACUGCAAGGGAGACAUCUUGUUUUAGGAAGUUCAGUAGACAGCUGGAUGUUCAGGAAAUAUCACUGACCAGUAAGGCACUGCUACCUGUGUUCUUGGUAAGAGAAAGAGUUGUGUUCAAGAAACUCGAAACUGAUGUAUUUGGGAAGGUAGGAGUGGGAGAGAAAAAGGAGACUGACUAUUGCUUUCAUUACUGAAAACAAGUAACUAUUUUGCAGACAGCCUUAGUCCAUGAGCUGCAUGGAAUUGGGAUGCUCUCACUGUCGAGUUUCAACUUGCAGAUGUUCUGAGGAGAUGCUAGACAGCCCUGUUUUACUCUACAGAAAACUUUUGUUGAGUUUAGGUGCGUUUGCUGUUUUGACUGCAUUUGUUCAUGAUUGAGAGGUCACUGUCUGAAUAGAAGAGGAGGAGAAUGGAGUGAGAAGCCUCUUUUCCUGGUAUCUUAUUCCUUAUGCUACUCCUCUCAAUGCAGAAAGAAGUCUCUGUCUCUGCUGUUUUUCCAGUUGCCUUUUAUCUGACUAGAAAACAACACUGAGUUUGGUUCCUAUAUUUCACUGACUUUUCCACGCAUAUAACUUAAAAAAGAAUGGAUCUGUCUAUCAAGUUUUGCAGGUUGGUGGAGUAAGUUGUUUGAUGCCUAGGCAGGAGUUACAGAUGAAAGAAGCACAGGAACCCAUGAUGAUUCUUUCCACCAUCAGAAGACCAGGAAGGUCAGGAUAUAUUCCUCAUAUCCUCUGGACUGCCAGCAUGAAAUAAUUCUAGCCUGUAAACAGCAACAUCUCAGAUGUGUUGGUGAAAUGGCAUUGGCUGAAGUAGUCUUACUGGCAUCAUAAGAAUACAAACCACUAUUCUCAUAGUGGUACAGAAUAAUAGCACAGAAAGAGUGGAAGCUGGUAAGUCAAACCAGUGCACAGUAAGUUUCAUGUGAACUUUGGUAGCUCAAGAUUUCAAUGUGUUUAUUUCUGUUAACUUCUCUUUCUCUUCCAUGCUUUACAGUUCAGCAAGUGCUAUACUAUUUUGAAUUAUUUCAUUCCUGCCUCUAAUCUGUAUUUGAAUCACUGUCAUGAAUUUUCACUGCUCAGUUUUUACCUCAAUUGAAGGAUGUGAAUUCUACCAACCACAGAGCCAAGGUGAGUUCCAAUAAGAGGAAGUUUGCUAGUUGUUAAAAGGUGUCUGUGUUUCAGUGUCAGACUUAGAACUGGUGCACAUUGUUGCAGCAUACCAUUUUUUUUUGUCAAACAAAAAUAAUGAGGUGAUUACAGUCCAGACUGUUUUGCAUCAUGGUCUUGUGUCUUCUUAUAGUUCCAUAAUUGUAUAUUAUAGCAGGUUCAUUAAAACACAUCAUAGUUAUUCUCAUUAAAAGUUAUUUUGCCUUCUAUGAAGACAACGUAUUUCUCCUCACUACUGGCAACCUGAAGUAGUAGGAAGGCACUAGUCAGACCUCAGUGCAGUGGGCUUGCAGACCUUCACAGCUCAAAGAUCUCACUUUGAGGUUUUGCUGUGGGUUGUUGGGUUUUUUUUUGUUGGUUUUUGUUUGUUUGUUUGUUUUCUGAAGCUGAAAGAUAGAAAGUGUUGCUUCUCUGAUUUGAGGUGAAAAUUAAAUCCCACUGAAGUCAUGAUUUCAACACCUGGGCCUUUAGAGAGACUACUGCAUCUUGAGUGGGCAAUAAAACUUUCAUUAUUCCAAAUAUUUUUUUUGCUAUUGCUGUAAACAGCAAUAAGACAAUUAGUAUGUUUGGUGAAGUGCUUGCCACUAGACUUUGCCUAUAGAUCUUAAAUCUAUAAAUCUAAAAAUCCUAUUUUUUCUUUGAGUUCUGAGCGUAUAUUGACAAUAUUUACUCUCUUCAAACUGCCGAGCACUUGGUUCUUCAUCAAACCAAACCACUGUUAAUGGGUAGUCUGGCCUCUGGUUAAGAAAAGAAAUAAAAUAUUGCUUAAGAUAGUCUUUUUUUUAUUAUGCAAGCCCUUUACAUAUGCUUAAAUUUGUGGUUUCUGAUUUCAUGGAGGUGUUUAGCAGUUAGGCAAACAUAGAAUGUCACUGUGUUUGGCUUUUUCCUGGCAGCACAGCUGAGACAGCUGCAGAGAGACAAAUUCAGAGUCAGAUUCUGUUCACCAUUUAUUCCCUUCAUGCUCACAAGCACUGGCUUCACAGACCAUGUCAAAAUGCAGCUAGGGGAGUGCUGAGCAAUCAGUACCUAGAGGGAGCUCAAGUUUUGGCUUAGAACAACCUUUUUUAUUCCUUUUUUUUUUUCUUUACCAUUCCAGAAAUGCAGACAAGACAAAUGGCUGUACAGCUUUAGGUGUUGUCUUACUGCUCAAACAUUUUAUCUGAGAAAUGAAGUUACCUUGUUCAGGUAUCCAUGUGUCUGGAGCCAGGUGACCUCUGCCCAUGUGUUUGUCACAUAUAAGAUCUUCUGUCUUUACGUGGGGUUCUCUUCAUAUGUUUACUUGUGUGGGCUGUUCCCUUGUUCAGCUGAGCACAUAUUGCAGUUCCUGAAAACCUAAUACAAGUUUAUACAGUCUUCUUCCUACAGGAUUCUCCCUUUGGAGGAGCCACUGGUGAUGCAGUACCUGCUUUGCAUCAGCACAUCUCAAAUAUGAUUGCCCAUACCAGACAUCCAUUAUGUGAUGGUUCUUGGUAGGAAAAACCUGUUUAAUGCAAUGGCCUUGUUCAUCUUUGACAAAAGAUAGUCUUGAUACUUCGAAGAUGGUGGUGAGUAUUGAAGAGCUGAACUGUUGGGUUACUCAUCGUGUGGGUACCUGUUGAACAAGUCAAGAUGUUUAAAAAUAAGUAAAUAAAACAAUUUAAGAAGUAGGCAAGGCUUACUAGUUUCUGCAGGCCCCCCAAAAAUCAAGCCCAUGUCUGCUUGUAUGCCCUUAUUUGUUGAGCUCUGGGGAUUAAAGCACUAUAAAAAAUUUCUUUGGAACUGGAGUAGUGCAUUAAAAUUAAAGGUAAGAGCUUUUAUACUGCAGAAGAUACAAUAAAACAGUAUCUAGAGCUCCUAAAUUAACCAGAACUGUGACUAAACAGCAACAAAAAUACCUUACAAAUACGAUCAUUUCCAGUCUCCCAGAUCUCAGUCUGGAAAGGCUGCAAUGUGCAACCUGCUAUGCAGCAGCAGUGGCUUGGUUGGUGGUGCUUAAUUCCAGUCCCAUGUAGCAAUAUUGGGACUGAUUUCUGAAGACUUGUUGUGUGAUGGGCUGCUUCAAAGAUCCGUUUCAUGUUCUUGUUUUAAUAGAUAAUUAGUUGAAACUGUAACUUUUUUAAAGGAGUCUGUUUCAGUAUGUGCUUCCUGAAAUGGAGAUCAUCAGAUUUGUUCCUGUCCUGCUAAACUUUGCAACUGUGCCAAAUCUACUAAAGGGCAAAUUUUCUUGUUUGUAAACCUUUUCCACUUGAGAGAACAACUAAAUGGACUCUGUAGUGAAAACAGAUUUGCAAAGCAAGAUUUUCACCUUUGCUCUUUGGAGGGAAGUACAAUAAAAAUAGCAGAGAAAGUAGAAAAGUUUUUUUUUUUCUAUUCUAAGAGUUUGAUUCCCUCUGCCCCAAGUUCUUGCUCUUCAUAAAUAACUUUCCAACAUGCAGUUAACUUUAUUCAUACUUACAGUUCUUACCAUCUUUCAGAAGCUCUCUGUACCAUCAGGCACGAGCCUGGGAUUCUUCUGUUUUGAGCUAAGAUGAAAGUCUUACUGCCUGACAGUGGAAAUAAACAAAUUGUUAAGGGGCUGAUUUUAGGUUUCAUAGCUGCACCAGGCACUGCUUUCUGCUCCUGAUUUCUUUAAUAGUUUUGCUUAAUAACAUUUUUCAAGAGAAGAACUGACAAAUGUGUUUGUUGGGCUCAGAAGUCUUUCAGGUACAUACUGAGUGUAACACUGGGUAAGAGCUGUCUGCUGUGGGACUUUGGGUGGCCGUGUUAUUAUGCUUUGUGUUUAUUCAGAGUUAGUUGCUAAUAGUGACUUGCUUUUUCUUUUUUUGGCAAUAGUAAAGCAGUGCCUUUCCCCGUUGUGUGCUGGAUCUUGCAGCAAUGUUUGUAGUGGUUUGUAGUGUCUGAAAACAACAUUACAGCUUUGGCAGUAGGAGUCAUUUGUAAGGAUACAAGUGGAAAUGAUAUGUCUAAUGCCUGCAGGUUAUCAGUGGACUUUGCAGUUAUCUGCCUGUCUUGAUUGCUUUUUAUUCUUUUUCUUUUUCCUUUCUUGCUUCUGAUCUUUACUAUUAGCCAAAAUAAAUAAUUUUUAAAAGUCAUAAUAGCAUUUCAUAUUGUUGUAGAAAAUAACACGUGGGUUAUUGCAUCCCAUCCUCUGCAGCUGUAGGCCCAUGACUUCUGUCUUGUGCAGCUUUUCUUUUAAUGUCAGAUCAGAAAGUGAAAAUUUCUUGUACGAGCAGAGAAGUCCCCAGCCUUGACCUGAAAGGCAGCGUGAGGUUCACUGCUUCAUUCAGUUAUCAUGGGUACAAGGAAACUAUUUCAUACCAGACCUCUCUCCAUUUAAGUUUGGCUUGGUUUGAGUUGCUAAUAGAAAUAGGACUCAAAGGCAAUUUACUGAUUGCAUCCUGAUUUAGGAUAGGAUGGCAAGCCACUGCUAUUAGCCCUGGUGACUGACAGCAAGUAGCUGAAAAUUAUUAAUGCUUUUUGUAUGAGAAAUCUCUUCUGUCAGCCCUUCUACUGAAGCAGCAAUCUGAAACAAGAAAGGUUAUUCUGUUAUUUCACAAAUGAAUUGAACUAAUUUCUGAUCAGAUGAACCUGAUCAGAAUUAAAGUGGCAUGUAAGAUGCAGUGACAUUUAGAACUCAUCAAAAAUAUUUACAGAGGGUAAUCUUUCCUGCACAGAUAUAUACAGAUACUCUGAUAGCACCAUACAGAGCCCAAGUUCUCUUCUGCAGUACAUGAAAGCUUUAAAACCUGCAGCUGAAAUGGUCAUUAGGGACUUAUUCCAGAUGCUUUUAAGGAUUGUUUGGAAUACCAAUUGUUCUGUCUGGCUCUCUGAACAAAACAAACAGCUGUUGUUCUCUUGAAAUUUUGUCUGAAGCCAUAUUUCAGACAGUAAAAUACAGGAUUUAUUGAAAUGCUGACUUUAUUUUUUUGCUGCUCAUAAAAGAUAUGACAUGAAAAUUAAAUAUAUGACAGAUGCUAGAGAUGUCUCAUCCCUGCUGAAUUGGGUUACUAUGUAAAUCCUCAGUCAUAUCCUCCUCUGCACUACAUCUUCUUACUUUUUCUCUUUGGUUGCAUAUAAAAGGCAGAAAUGAACUGAGCUGAGGACUUGCUGUUGACAGAAGGAGUGUGUGCUCCUUUUGUGCCUGGCAUUCAUCUGACCACAUGAUCAGCAAGCCGGUCCUAAUCUCCUAAUCCUGCAGCAGAAGUGCUUUCAGUUAAUUUUGUUUCUGUUACAGUUGAUUUGGGUCAUGGUGUAGUCGGGUCCCAGAGCCAUCUUGAGAUGCAGGAGGAGCACAUGGCUGUGACAGUGGGGAUUAGGGCAGAAGUGGGAAAGGAGAGAAAUUAAAAACACUCUUUUGUGGCUUUUAACGUGUAACCCAUAGCUUCCAGGUACCUACCUGUGGGUUGGUGUUGUGUUUUUUUUGGCUGUUUUUUGUGGUAUAUUACUCCAUGUAUGCUGCACAAGUAGAAAGGCUGUGCAGAACUGAGUGCUGUUCUGGCAUCUUGCCUGCUUCCUGUCCGCGUGCCCCCGCUGCAGUAUGUGAGUAGAUUUGCUUUGUGAUUGUCCAUGGAGGGUACUAAAAUGCCACUUCUACUCGCUUAGAGACAAUUUCUUGCACAGAAGGGGAGGAGAUGCACGGUGUUAUCACUAAGAACUGGGGGAUCCAUCUUCAAAGAGGGCUUCUUACUACACUGAUUGCGUUUUCCAUGGAUGUAAUGUUCCAUGGAUUUUCAAUUCACUCUGUCACACCACCUUUGUGAUAUAUCUUCUGUUUUUCUUUCAAAUUGUUAGAAAUCUACAUUUAAUAAUUUGUAUUAAGAAGUUUACAGCUAAGAAACCACUGCAUUAAGCAUUCCAAGGCACAUUAGUGUGUUAAUUUUGGUUCCCUUUCUUCAUCUAAUUGUCCUUUUAUGAGGACAAUAAUACAGAUUAUUUUGCUCUCAUAAUUUGUCUUUCUGUGACUGUAUAUUUUGGUAAUACUUGGGUUGCCAGUAAUUCUGUGACAUGACAGUGUUUAAAUCUAUGUAUAAAAUACUUAUCUGUGUUGAUUUCUGAAAUGUGUUGUAAUAGCUUGUUGUUUUACAUAGAAUGGCUCGGGUUGGAAGAGGCUCUAAGGAUCAUCGAUUUCCAACCCUUCUGUCACAGGCAGGACCACCAACCUCCAGGUCUGGUACUAGAGCAGGUUGCCUGGGGCUCCAUCCAAUCUGCUUUUGAACACCUCCAGGGAUGGAGCAUCCAUAGCCUCUCUGAGCAGAGAAAAUGCAUUUAGUUGUCAAAUAGAGAAAUUAGAAGCUGGAGGAUUAUUUUCUUUAGAUGGAGAAAAUGGCAAGAAACCAAAUGCAGGCACACUACAAACAGAAUUCAGGAAUGAUGUCGGUGUGCAGAGUCAGUGUUCCUUACUUGGAAGAGAGUUUGUGUAACUAGAAAUUGAUGGAAGUGCUGUGUUUUGGAAGUUUUACCCCUGAUGUCAGUACAUGUUCUUAGCAGAGAUUGUAUUCUGAUUCAUGGUUUGCCGUGACCAGGUGUGACUGCAAUGCUGAAAUUCCAGAUUGUGGAGGGACAUGGGCAGUCCCUGUGCUGUGUGACACAGCCCAUCGCGAUGGGCCUCGUGGCCUCUGUGUGUCUGCACUGUGUGGAUUCCAAGGCAGCAGCCCUCCCCAGAGCAAGGAGGCCUGAGCAGCACAGCAUGGGCAGCCAAGGUGGAUUUUGAGGAGUCAGGUCACUUCUAGCUUGCAAAAUGCAUUGGUUUCUCUGAGGCAGUUCACUGGUACUUUCUCAUUAUUGCUGUAGGUUAAAGAAUGCACUCUUCGUUGUGUGGAGAUGCUUGAACAGAUCAAGUCAAAUUUGUCUUUGUUUCCUAUCACAGGGACAAGUAAAUAUUUACAAAAUAAUGCACAAAAAUUACUGCAUUUUAAUCUACUCUAGUUAAUUUAUGGCCUGUCAGAAUAUUUUUAAACCAGGCUGAUGAAUAGGCUUAAAUUGACAUUUUAUGCUUUUUUCAUAAAAUGAAGCUUGAACUGAGUGUCUGAGUGACGGUGGUGCUACUCAAAUGAAACGUUCAUUAGAUCCAUGCAGCUGUCAUGAGAUGUUUGUUUCCCCUGACUUGCAGAUUCUCCUAAUCCUCUCGUGGUGACUGCAGCCCUCUGUGCGGCAUGCUGGCGGCUGGUACCCGUGUCCUGUUACCUGCUCCAGGCAAAGUGGGCCAGAUAAGAUUAGUACUUUAAAUCAGUGGCCUGAGCUAACUUGUCUGGAUUUUUGCUUGUGUGAUAAGAUAGCAGACUGCUUCAUGUGAGCGCUAACUCUGCAGAGGAGGUGGUGGUGUCGUGGCAGGCGGUGAGUUCAGGUGCUUAAAGUCAUCUUCAAGUCUUUGCAUUGAAUUGAGCUGAAGAUGCUGUGACAAUAUUUGGAAAACAUAGAGCUAAUCACUACUGAUGUAGUUUUACAGUCCCAGAGAAUAAUAAGUCCAGUUCAGUUUUGUAACACCAAAUAAUCCUGUUUGUGUUUGUGGAAAGCAGUAUGUGGCAAGUGACCUUAAAGGCUGGUAGUUAUCACUUCUGUUUUCUGAAGUAUUAAAACUGGAGCUCUAAGCCAGCUCCUCAUUCAUAUAUUCAAACAGCUCUUUCAAAGGUGAUGGCUUGCAACUGGAAAAGUAAAUAACUUUGUGAUAAGGAGAAGUCAAUGGAGACAUUGUGAUCAGUCUGUGCCUGUGACCUAAGGUGCUUGUCUUAAAUAUACAGUAAUAAUGAGAAUGGCACAGAAUGCAGUGGAGUUGUUAAAGCACUGGUUCUAGCUUUACUUCACAUUAACAGCUCCUGCCUAUGAAUAUUUUAAGUUCUUAAUUCAAUGAUGUAACUGAAAGACAGUCACAGCUAGGCAUCCCAAGGCCAUCCAUGAAACAGGGAGGAGUUUAAAGGAGCUACUGUUUAUGAUAGGUUUACAAAUUCCAGAUUGUCAUUUCAUAAAGCUCGUUCUGCAUCUAGUGCUGAAGUAUUGAAGUGUUGUCAUGUCAUUAUAGAGUUGAAAGGCAAAUUUUUUGUGAAUUAUUGAGGUUUUUGAUAACACAAGGCUAGGUUUUGUUCCCUAAAUUUUAUGAAUGAACCAAACCAAAUGAUCUUCUUGUGCACGCUUCUGAAAGUGUGGAAACCAUUGACAUGUGGUUACUUAAAAUGUUCACCUAUCCUGCUUAUAUUCCCAAAAGUGCAUGGCUGAAGCAGGUACUGAGCCUAAAAUGUUACGUGGGAUGGGCAGCCUGGGGCAGAAUGCCUGGAUGGCAAAUGGCGCUCAGCACAAAACCUUGGCUGGUUGGUGCCUCUUCCUUUUGAAGCACACCGUGUGGACAGCUGCAGUCAGUCUGACUGUUUGCAGGAUAGACUUUCUGCAAAUACUGAGGAAAAUCCGUUGUAGUGGGGAUUUCCUGAAAAUUGACUUUCGUCUCCCUUUAUGAGAUGAGGCUGAUGUUGACAGUGCUGCAGAUUCUGAAGAGCUGGGUAAAUGAGUUACCUCUCCAUUUGAAUGGAAGCCAUGAAGGCAAAAUAAAUACACACCAAGCACUCUGUCAUUACUUGCUAUGUUUAUGUGUGGAACAAUUUAGUACAGUGCUGAACUCUUUUAUUCUCAAAUAUUUCAAGAUUGUAGUGGUAUCAUUCAGUGUAGUAAAGCUGUAUUAAUCUUUCCUGUCAUGUUGCUAUCCAAAGAAAUUGUUUUGUACUCAUUGGUCAUGGGAGACCUUGUCCCAGCUCUGCAAGAUGGAAAAAAAGUUUGAAAUAUGCCUUUGAAAAUUGCAAUCAGCUGUAUUUGGGAAAUGGAGGUCUGAGGAGCUUUCAUGUAUAUUUUCUACAGAGAAUUCCCAUAUUUUCUGUAUCGAAUUGAGGUUGUGUAACUGUUUUUAAUCCCACUGUUAACGUAUUAGGUUACAGGAAUCUUUCCACUUAAGUGAGCAAACACAGGAGACUGUUUAUGUAACUGAAGAUCUGCAACUGCCGAUAGAAUUAAUUAGGAGAAGAAUAAUUAGGCAAAUAGUAGUGUCCAAAUGGUCCCAAUAGAAAAAUGUAUUGUAAUCCCACUAGAAAUCUCAUUAAUGUUGUUUGUGUUGAGCUGUGCCUUUUGCCAUACCAUAGAGGAAGGCAAAUGUGGAAAGAGCUCAAUGGGGCGUCAGUGGGGAACGAAAAAGAAACAAUAUCAAGGUUUUAAACUGUCUAAUCUCAUUGUUGUCAUUUGGUCCUGGCUGCAACUCCAAUAUCUGCUUAAAAACGUCUCUUGAAUGAAUGAACCACUUGUGGCCAAAUAGGUACAAAAGAAAAAUUCAGUUUAGGACUUGUUACAGAAUUGUUGCUUCAUGUAUCAGAAACAGGUUGUGCCUUAUGCCAAGCAGAUGACCAAAUAAGAAAUGAGACAACCCUUAUUUCAAACAUUUUUUGCUCAAAUUCAACAGCUUACUCAUUUUAAAAAGUUAGCAAGCAUAUAAUCUAGACCUUUCACUGUAAUGUUAAUCAGACUGAAAUACAAGGAAGCUCAUUCUGACAUCUUGUUCCAGUUAGAAAAGUGGAAUUGGAUACAAGUGUACAUCUGUAUGAAAACCAUAGAAUAGCUGGCUUUUCAAUCUGCAUCAUGAAAAGACAUUGAUGCACAUUACUAAGAAAGCCCUCAGGUUUUUUGAUUUAUAAGGGACAAAGAACUUAGGAGAGAACACAGCCUUAGCAGCAUCCACUUUCUUGACCAGUGUAUUUUAGGGCCUGGGACUACAUGGACGUUCCUCUCCAAUUCAAAGAUGAAUGAGCAAUGUAUUUAUAGGGAAGCAGUCUCUGGUUCCUGGUCUGUGGCAGCAGUGUCUGUGAUUUGUCAGCGGGGGCAACAUCUUGGUUCUCUGUGGUAAGCACUGGUGGGAAGGUCAGGUUUUCAGUCAGUAGAGAUUUGUGCACUGCCUUGUUGCUGUAACAGAGAAGAUGAGUUUUUCUUAUUAUUUUCACUUGCUUUGGCAUCUUAUCUUUUUUAGUUCUUUUACUCAUUACUGUAUUUCACUCUACAGCACUGGGCAGCACAGAGUGCAUGUUUCAGGCUUGUUUAGGCACACUGAGGUAGUACAGUAGAGGAAGCAAUACAUACAGUGAGAGCGUCUUCUGUGAAAACGUAGCAGUAAAACCAAAGCAUUUUACAAGCAGUCAUUCAGAGCUUGCAGAGAGAAGCCUUGUACCAUUGCAGAGGAUGUAUCUGAGGCCUGGAGGGGUUGGGGAAGCUGCUUAAGGAUCACAAGUGUAGCAAUGCUAGCAGUACAGACUGUCCUGCACAACUCAACAUUGCUGCUUCCCAACAGCUUUGGAACAGUAGCCUUCAUUCCUCUACCAGUGAGCUGCAGCACCUUUUGGGUUUGAACUGCUAACAGGAUUUUGUUCCUUUCUUUUUGAUAAGAACAAGCUAGAAGCUGAGUAAUGUGUGAUAUAGUGAAUGUGUUUUAUUUUUAGUGAAUGGUAAAUGGAUCCACGUUAAAAUAUUGUAGACCGACAACUUUGGAAACCAAAUGCCUCUUUGUCACAGUGAAAGUUUACAAGAACUGUUGUCUGCAUUUUAUAAUUACUUACUCUCCCCCAUUGGCUAUAGUUGCUGUUGUUUCUAAUUAGCUUAGUUUCCUGUUACAGCAGCAGCUGUGGAUAAAUACCAGUCAAGCCAGCCUCUUUCUCAUAUGAAUUUUUAAAAAUGUGUCUAUAAAAUAUUCACUGGCACUGAGUUCCUGGAGCCACAUUCAGGCACACUUAUCGCUUGUUUAGUGAAAGGAAACCAACAUCCAAACGAGGUCUCUGCAACUCUUUCUGAAGGCAGUAGGUAUGAAAGCAGAGUACAGAGAAGAAAUAGAAGCAGUUGUCUUACUAUGAGUCUUGGAACGUGGUCUGAGUACAUGACCAUGAAUGCUGAAUUUGUUGCAAUCUAUCAGCUGAGCAAUGAAUGUGGUAUUAAUGGCAAAGCCUUUCUUUUGAUGCUUUCUAAACACAGCCCUUUUGUAGUCUUCUCUAGAACUUCUAGGAGGAGAUUUGUAAAUGUGCAGUGAAUGAGCAGCAAGGCUGGGUUUGGCUGUGAUGUACAUCCCAAAGCUAUACUUCUGCACUUGCAGCAUGUGCUGCAGUUAAAUCCAGUUUGUCUGGGGAGCACUGAACACCUACAUUAGAGAUACAGCAACUGUGACAGAUGUGCAACAGCUCUGAUGCGUAUCCAAAUUACCAGUUGCUGUGCAAACACUGUGCUGUUAGAAAACGGCUGCUUCUCUCUGUAAUGUUCUUGAACAAACAACAUGAAUGCACUGCACAGCACAAGCAUGACUAUGGCCUGUGCUUUCAGGACUUGGCAGGAUUUACUGGCAUGAAGGAUCUUUUUGCAGCUAAUGUGCUGAACACAGAUUUUGCCUCUCGUGUGUACAGGAAUGGGGAAUUUCUAGUGUUCAUGGUCAGAAUUGUAUUGCAGUACCUAGCCCUGCUUCCACACCUGAACUUCUUCCAUUUCAUACCUUUAACAGUCAAAUGCUGAUGCUCUGCUUCUUGGGGAGGUGCUGUACUGAAGGGACUCUCAAAAAAAAAACCCAUCACCCUCACAUGUCUUGCUAAGUGCAUUCAUAGGAGCCUGGCUUCAUUAAGCUCAGGGCUGCUGGGUAGUGUUCUGUCUGCCUCUUAGAGCAUGAGCCAAUUUAGAUGAGAAAUAUUAAUAAUCAAAGGUGUAAUGACAUAAAAAUACAACCCUGUCUGAGGUAGUAGAGUAGUGCUGGCUCACUGUUUCCACCCUGGACAUAAAAAGAAAGGAUAUGGCCCGUUAGAAACAGGGUGGGGAGCUGCCCUGGGGACUGGUCUGGGUGGGACCUGGGGCAGCUUGGCCAGAAUAGGAAGCUGAUGUUACAGCUUUUAUUAAGUUCAAAGUCAAAAAUAGCUGAAAGCCAACCCCCUUCCUAGUUCUGAUUAGAAACUUUUUUUUUUUUUCAAGGGGGACUUAAUUGUUUCUGGUUCUUAUUUAACUAGGUUACAUUGAAGUUGACUUUUAGCAUAGCUGAUGCUUUUUAUUCUCCUUUCUACUUCUUUUUCCCCAGUAAUAAAAGUUUAAGGAUGUCAAUCAACAUGGACACUGAGCUGCAGGGGAAGCAAACUGCUCACCCUUUCCACUUGUCUGCUCUGCUGGGUCCUGGUGCCUCGCUGCUUGCCAUGUCUUCUCAACACGAUGUAGUGAUAUAUAGAUAUCUAUGUUAGAACCCCAAACUCUUCAAAAUAACCUCCAGUAGAUUAGGAAACACUGAUCCAAUAAACAAAAAUCAGGUCACCUCUUAGAAUAAUUCACAAAUCUCAUGCAAGCAGUUAGCUAAAAUUAGAGACCAAAUAAGUCUUCUGUUUGUGUUAUUUUCCUAAACAAGGAAAAUUCCAGCCUGAAACUGAGCUAUAAUAUAUGUAGUCACCUCAGUGACUGGGCAGGAGUUUAAUUGGUGUGAUUGGUGUUCACAGAUGAACAAAAUUUGUGCCUUGCAAAUUUGCUAUCAUUUUCCUAAAGCUUUAUGUCUCUGCAUUCAGUGAUGGGCAAGAUGCAGAUAUAGCAUUUGAAAAUUCAUCCGACAGGUUAUUUUUCUCCAGAUUCUCUCCUUUCAGAAACACUGUGCAGAUAGGGUUUAUUUUGGAGAGAUGAGAUGUUGAUGCAUGAAGUCUUUUCUUAUAGUGGUUCUGGCCACUUUGUGUACAGAAGCAAAGCAGAGCAGUAGUUGAAAGAUGGGUAGGAUUAGACAUGGCUUGCCUGUACUCCAAAAAUUGAUUUAUGGAGAUCUCUAGCAGGCACUGCUAUGUACUGGUAGGCCAUCAUAACUAAUACGAACAUGAACUAAGGUGAAUGCAAGUUUGCUCAUCUAAUGGAUCUCAUUAUAAAUGAAGAAGUUGGUUUAUGCUACAGUUUUGGUUUAAAGCUUUUCAGAGGAGUAUAGUAUUGGAUCAGCAUGUUUAUUCUAAGUAGUCAAAUAUAAAUAUCUAGCUCCACUUUCCUGUUACACUACUUCACAACAGUGCUGUUUCUUCCAUCAGUUUCUGUAUUUCCUGAGUAUGAGAACAAUAUUAUUGCAUGAUGAAAAAUAUGUUGCAGUAGAGAGUGAGGGGUUGGGGAAAUGGAAUGUAAGAAUGGAUUUAUUUUAAAAAGAAAAAAAAAUAGUAAUUUGGUAGAAAUUAAUUGUCUAUUCUUUGGGAAACGAGUUCUGUGCACUCCUGUACAGCCUUGGAAAGCCCACAGGUAGUGACUGACAGAUCCAGUGGUGAGGCAGAAAAAGGCUAUGCAAAUUCUCUCCCAGUUAAUACAUUCUUUUUCCUGAUCCACAUCAAAAAACAGGAGAAUUUGGGAGAACUAAACACAGAGGAUGGAAAGCUGUUAUUGUAAAAAGACCAAGCUAGCCUUGUCAAGUGCUGACAGGGCUCCUACUGGCUUUGGUAGGAGUUAUGUUCAUGUCAAAGCAGGAUCAGGUUCAAAAUGUUAUUGUAUGGCUGUGGCGGCACUCGUGUAGACCUGCCUUGCGUAAGGUUAGGCUAUGAGACAAUAGUAAAGCUUGUCUGUCCUAAGUAUCUGUGUAAAAAAAUGAGUAAUAGUUCACAGUGGCCUUAGAAUAGCUCUGUGCUUUUAAAAAUUAUUGAAUGUUUAUUGAGCGUCCUGUAUGAAAUGUCUGAGGAAUGGUCAGAAGUCCCAGAACAGCAGAAUGGGGGGUGUAUAAAUUGAAACUAGUAGGCAGUUGCCUUAAAAGAAAGUAUGUUGCAAAGCAGAUUACUUGCCCCAGGAAGAGAGUGUAGGGGUGGAUUGUAUACACUGGUUCAAAAAGUGCCAUGGUUCAGUCAGGACUGUGUGAUUAUGGAUACCCUGCAUGCCCAACCCCUAGUUUUAUGUUUUCAUUGCCUCCUUUUUUAAUGUUAAAAAAAAAAAAAAAAAAAAAAAAAUUAAAAAAAAUUAAAAAAUUGCUGUUUAAUGCAUUAAUGCAUUAAAUAUUUUAUGUAUUUUUGUAACAUAGGGUCCAAGACAAUUCUUCUUCACUCAGUGCAGCCCAGGCAAGCCCAGAGGUUGGACACCUGCAGCACGGCAAGUAAUGAGCAGGCCAGCAGGUGGAUAACUCACAUUGAUGCAGUGUGUGCCACGUGUGCAUUGCACCAAGAGGACUCAGUGCACUCAGUGACUGUAGCUGUGGAUCUGAAUGACAAGGGUUAUGGAUAAAAAGGGGCACUGUUGUUUGUGGGAGCAACGUGAACUCGCAGACUGAACUCAGUGAUUUUAAUCGUCGCACCUUCUGUUAUGGGCCAUGUGUCCUGCUAUUUGUCAUGUGUGACAGGAGUCAAGAGAGGCCUUGAGGUCUCAAAGGUAGGAAGUAUCAAUAUUUCUGCUCAGAAGAGGAAGAAAUAGGCUGAAGCUGUAUUAAAGAAAGCAGUGUGAUCUCUACCUUUAUUGGACAGGAAGGAACCCACGAAAGACAAUUCCCUCACAUCUGUUUGUUCCUGGAGAUCUCAGUGGGAGUUCAUCCAUUAUAAAACACCAGAUUUAGUUCUCAGUUUGUUUUUCUUCUGAGUCAUUUUUCUGUCAUCAGUGGGGGAUAAACUCAUGAUAAAGAAUUGUAAUAAAAAUAUUGAAAAUAACUCAACCACCAGGCAUAAGUGUAUUGGAAAACAAGCUUCAGUCUUCUUGCUGGUAAGAAUGAUAAAUUUUAGCUGGAACUACAGUAUGCACUGAUUUUUUUCCCCAGUCUGAUGUUGUAGUGAUAGGACUGUAAUACAAUAGAAAAUGUCAUCCUUUUUGAGGCUUGUCAAAUCAUAUAACAGAUUUUUUUUUAAAUGUAUGAUGUGUAUUAAUAAGGAAUACUGGUGAGUAGUGGUAACUUUAUUUUUCCUCUUGGGUUUUGCACAUUUGGAAGCACGUGCUUGGUUUAACAAUUUGCUGAGUUUAGUACAUAAAAGUCAGUGAGCACAACUUGACUCCUACAUUCAGUUAACCACAGGAAAUGUUUCACUUAGCAAAAUUUCAGCAUUUGAGAUAUUCCUUCCUAAUACUGAAUCUAAGAUUUUUUUUCUUUCUAAAUUACUUUUAGUAGCUUUUUCUUCAGAAAUGAGAUUGGCAGCCAUUGCAUGAAAUAAGGAAGAUGUUUAAGUCGUGGUAAUUGAUCUAUAGUAAAAACAAAUUACAAAUGAAAUAACUUUUGGUUACAGUGAAGUAAUAUAAGUUAUGUAAGAUGACCUUUUAUAUAUAAGUAUAAACUUAAUAUAAGAUGCCUGAAAUUUAACAAGACAAGAUGCAGAGACUAAGCUUUUAGAUAUUAAUUUUUUAGAUGGUAUCAAUGAAUCUCAUAGACAACUGAUUAGAAAGACUGCAAGAGUGACAACCCUUGCUGUGUAGUUCUGUGUAAACCACAGGAUUGACCAAUGUGAGAAGCAGAUGAUUAGGCUGGAAUUCUUCAGUCAAGAUAGACACAACCCAAGAGGCAGAGGCUGCAGUUUCUCAGGGGUCAGUGCUGGGACUGGUGCUCUUUGACAUCUUCAUGGAGCACAUCAACAAUGGGAUCAAGUGCACCCUUAGUAGUUUGUGGAUGACACCAAGCUGUGUGGUGCAGUCAACAUGCCUGAGGGGUGGGGUGCCAUCCAGAGAGGCCUAUGCAGGCUGAGCUGUGAGCCCAGCUGAACCUCGUGAGGUUCGACAAAGCCAAGUGCAAAGUCUGCACCUGGGUUGUGGCAACCCCCACUGUCAGUACAAGCUGGGGGAUGUAAGGAUGGAGAACAGCCCUGCUGGAAAGGACUUGGGUGCUGGUGGAUGGCAGCUGGAAAUGAGCCAGCAGUGUGUCCUCACAGCCCAGAAAGCCAAUCAUACUAUGGGCUGCAUCUAAGGAGUGCAUCCAGCAGGGCUGGGAGGUGAUCCUGUCCCUCUGCUCUGCAACAUCUCACCUGGAGUGUUGUGUCCUGAUGGGAGUCCUCAGCACAGGAGAGAUGUGGGCCUGUUGGAGAGUGAGUGUCCAGGGGGCACAAAUGACCCCAGGGAUGGAGCACCUCCCUGUGAGGGCAGGCUGAGAGCUGAGGCUGUGCAGCACGGAGAAGGGGAGGCUGCAGGGAGAUCUGAGAGGGCUGUAAGAAAGAAGGGGACAGACUCAUUAGCAGGACAAGGGGAAAUGGUUUCAAACUGAAUGAUUGGAUGUAAGGAAGAAGUUAUUACAAUGAGGAUGGUUAGGCACAGGUUGCCCAGAGAGGCUGCCCUAUCCCUACAGACACCCUGCUCAGACUGGGGAGCUCUGAGCACUGAUGGAGCUGUGAGCGUCCCUGCUUGCUGCAGGGGAUUGGACCUGAUGGCCUUUAGGGGUCCCUUCCAACUCAGGUGAUUCUAUGAUUCAGUAAGUUGUUAGUGAGAUACAUAAACAGGCUGUUCACUAUCUUUUCUAAUAAAAUAGUUCUGGAGAUGUUGCAUAAGCCUUAUGGGAGCCAGCAUGUGCACUUCAUGCAAUGCACUGUAGGUUUGUGAAGCUUAUUUCCCAAAGGAUAUCAAAGCUCUUUAUGUGUGAAAGAGUGAAGAGGUCUAUAGAAUGGAAACGCACUGAGGACUGUUGAAGGUGUAGGGAACCACAUCUGACUGGGGGAAAACAAUGGUACCCUUUCCCUAAACUUCUUUAGUUGCUUUUCUGCACUGUUUGUCCAAUUACUGUUCAACUAGCAUGUGGAGCAGUUUGCAUUCUCCAUGGAGGUGAUCUCUCCCCUGCUCCACGUCUAUAUUAAGUAUCCCAUGGAAGCAAACUACAUAGACCCAAGUCAAAUAAUUGUUUCUCUGAUGUUUCCCAAAGAGUGGACGUGUUACUCUAUCAAUGGCACAAGAAGUAUUCAGAUAUGGUAUGGAAGCAGGUCUGGAUUUGGAAGCAGCGUAGUUUUGUCAGUGUGGUGCUGUUUUUUGGGGUAGUUAAGGAGAGGAAUUGAAUUACAGAGCUCAUUUGUGGAGAGAAAAAGGGGUGAGCAGGAUAAUUAGGAAAUGCUGGUCCAGGCAUGUCUCAGUGAUAAUAACAGAGAGGAAAAAGUUGACUUUGUGCCGUUAACUUGGCAGCAGAUAGCACUGCUGCACUGACUCAUUUGGUGAGGAAAGAUGAGUAUUACAUUUUUCACCACUGAUUUGACUCCUGCAAGAACCUCUGAAUGGCAAAAUUGGUGUCAUUACCAUGGCAUGCUGGGGCCUCCUGCUGAAACGAAGCUCCUUGACUCAAUUUCCAGUUGGACUGGGCUCACAAGUGCAGUGUGCAGGGCUGGUGGGGGCCAGUGCUUUGCUGACUGAAGCACACUAUGGUUCCUAACCUGAGCAAGACGCUCGGGCAUGCCAGGAGGAGGCUUUUUGUUCUUCUUUUUCUUUCCCUUGGCAGAAGUUGCUGGCUUAUGUUUAAAAGAGUUGUUGUGGAGCUUGGAAUUUUAAUUAUUUUUGAAUCGACUUUUGGACGAUUGUUGCUAUUAAACAAAGGAAUCAUAUUCUGGAAAGGACUGUAGUAAAUCAGAUAGCAAAUAAUAAAAAUGUGGGUUCAUAUUUAACAAAUUAAUUCCAUGUGAUGGACUAAGUCUAACAUCAACUUCCAUAAAUGCCAUUACGUUUUGCCCUAAGACUCAGCUGGCUUUUUGGGAUGGAUGGUAUGAAGGUUUACAAGGAGCUAUCUGAAUGAUGGGCAAUCCUUGGAAACUACCAGCUCCUCUGUAAGAGAAAUGUGUCAAGGAGGAUCCUCCCAAACUUACAUUUGCAUGUCACUUUCUGCAGGCCACGAAAGCCUCCUCUCCCUUUUAAUAAUGUAUGAACUUUUGUACAAAAGAGCAAAGUGACUCCCAACUGUACUGCAGCAAAAACCCAAUGAUUGACUGACUUGCUGUACAAGAUGGCAGAACACAGUAUGGUUCUGUUUGUAACAGAAUUUCUUUGUGAGUUUUGUGGCUAUAAAAUACAUAUUGUGGUGAAGUUAGUUAUUUGAAAAUGUAGGUGGAAAUAUUUCUAAAUAGCACAGCAGUUCUUGUAAUGUACUCACUGCUGGAUGGAUGCAGUAGUUCUCAGCACAAAUACUGAUAAUACUUCUGCUCUACCUUUCCUUCUACAAAUGUCAGUGUUUGGUGUUUCACUGUAGUAUGAUCUGAUAGAUCACUGUGCCAAUCAAAUCCGUCUUGUCAAAGCAAAAAGUAUUGCAGAGUAAGCAAUGAGGAUUCAAGAUAUAUAAUAAAUUCAGCCCAAUAAUAGCACUGAUCCACUCGAGAGCUAUCCCUGUAGUUUUGUACCUGCUUUGGCACCUGUAUGAACUGGAUUUGAGUCAGUGGCAUGAGAAAUAGAAGCGGAUGAUGCAUGUGUAAAACGUGUUGUUGGGAAGCCUGUGAAGAUGGAUGAGUUUGUUGGCCACUGGGUUGAUGAUUGAUCUCCUGAAAUAGGAGCUUUUGGUUUUUUUCCCCAGCUUUGAUGUUGACCAACUUUGUAAUUAUUUCCCUAUGCUAUUCUGUUAAUUUACACUUCUGUUUUACUUUGCUUGUGUUCAAGCAGAUUCAUGUUAUAAUGGAAAUACACCAGCAGCAUUACAGAAUGGAGGCCAAGUUUCAAAUAAGGGUUCAGGAGUGAGUUUUUGUCCUACCUGUUCAAAUAGCAAGUGAAGGGAAAAAGAAACAACAGAACAAAACAUGCACUCAAGCCAUUAAAUUAGCAUGUUAGUGCAGAGCUGGAUUCAUUAAUGACAUACAAGCAUCCUGAAGUCCAAGUCUUUGCAGUUUGUGUGGAUGCAAAGCCUGGCUCCCCUCACCUGUAUGAGGUUAUCCCUCACCUCCUGCCCAGAAGGGCUUAACAUGGAGCAAAGCUCCCAGCACAGGCAUGACUGACACAAACCUGUUGUUGCCAGUAAGAGUGAUGUUUUAGCAUGUUGGACAUUGUAUUGUCUGAAAUUCAUCUGUGUGGGCCUAUAAAAAUAGCCAUCAAUUUGGCUUUUUCCA